AACGAACGCUGGCGGCAGGCUUAACACAUGCAAGUCGAACGGGUGUAGCAAUACAUCAGUGGCAGACGGGUGAGUAACACGGGGGAACCUUCCUCGUUGUACGGAACAACUCAGGGAAACUUGCGCUAAUACCGUAUACGUCCGAGAGGAGGAAGAUUUAUCGCAAUGAGACGGGCCCGCGUCGGAUUAGCUAGUUGGUAAGGUAACGGCUUACCAAGGCGACGAUCCGUAGCUGAUCUGACAGGAUGAUCAGCCACACUGGGACUGAGACACGGCCCAGACUCCUACGGGAGGCAGCAGUGGGGAAUGUUGGACAAUGGGCGAAAGCCUGAUCCAGCAAUGCCGCGUGAGUGAUGAAGGCCCUAGGGUUGUAAAGCUCUUUUACCCGGGAUGAUAAUGACAGUACCGGGAGAAUAAGCUCCGGCUAACUCCGUGCCAGCAGCCGCGGUAACAC
rnacentral:rRNA from 1 species